rnacentral:tmRNA from 1 species
GGGGACGACAGGCUUCGACGCGGUCGAUCUCGGAGGGUUGGUUGCGAGUCGAGGUGCCGGAGGCCUCGUAAAAACCGGCAAAACCAUAAGUGCGGACUCUCACGAGUUCAGCCUCGUCUAGCACUAGCUAAGUCGAGGUUCCCGAGCACCGAUCGCCUGCGGCGGUGACCAUCGGGAUCAGAAAGCAGGCUCGCCCGAGGCGUCCGCUCCCGCCGCCUCGGGGACUCUCAGGGAGCUGGCUCCCCGCAACCCCGCCGGCGCGGCGACCGGGGAGCGAGAUACUGAGCGCCGGCUACGCUCGUAGAAGCCAACCCAACGCGACCGCGGACGCGGGUUCGAUUCCCGCCGUCUCCACUU